ACCACUGCCCUAGAGGCUGAAAUCUUCCAUAUGUGCCAAAGAAGAGAUACAGCAAGGGCAGCAGCAUUGCAAGCUUUCCCACUACAAUGCCAAUAUCUCAACUCAGACAUGGAAGGAAAAUCCUUAGGUGUGAAAAAUUACUACAGCAUGCUGGGCCAAUUCAGUGCUGUAUGUCUGUGCUGAGAUGUCCUAU
rnacentral:sRNA from 1 species